UUUGGAGGAAGGUGUGUUUAGACAUGAAACCCAGUGCAUAGUCUCAGGCUGAGAUACAAAUAGACGCUGUACACAGGAAGUAGUGUUAGAGCCAGUGUUAAUAGAUGAGCGUGGCCUUUGUCACACUAACCAUGACUGUUAGCCUGGAAUGGCUUGGACAGAUCACUAGGUAGGAGAACAUUCCUGCUUCAAGCCAAGGCUAAUAUCCAAAUUCCAGAAUGUCAGAUCUGAGGCACAUGUCAUCGGUGGCUUUUGGAGGCAGCCAAGGUGGGGAGGGUAUCUCCUAGUCACCCUUCUAGAAUGUUCCAUCUUACCUCAGCAAGGAGCAUCUGUGAGGUCACACAUAGCCUCAGUCACUGUUAUGUCUAGUCAAGUUGUUCUAGUCCAUCACUUGGAAUAGUCACUGCUGGGUGGUCUUGGCCUGAUAGUUCAUGUACCCUAAGAUUAGCAGAGAGAACAGGUUUAGGGCUGGAUGCUGGAGGGUUCCAGGAGCUCAGAGGGAAUGGUUCAGACAGCAGUGAAUGUCAUACCUAUGUAAGUAAAGGAGGCUCUGGAGGUAAGGUAAGGGCUGGAGAAGAGAGGGGAGACAACCACGAAUAGGAGAGGGAGUGAGAGAAGGGAUUGGGCCACUGUGUGUGUGUGUGUGUGUGUGUGUGUGUGUGUGUGUGUGUGUGUGUGUGUGUGUGUGAAGUGCAGUGUGAGGAGACACACUCCCUCCAGCCACUUUGAAUCUGCCUGCAGAUCAGGCAGACCCUCCUCCCUGCACCACCUACAGGCCCUCCUAGGGACAAGCAGCCCCAGCUCUGUAGAAGAAGCUGCAGGAAGCCAGAGCAGCUAGGACUGGGCUGAGGACUUCCGGGACACAGCAGUGUAGAAUGAUAGGAAGGGCAGCCAGGCCUUGGAGCAGACCUCCAGCUGGACUCUGGAACCUUCUGCUCUUGGUGAUAAGACCUAGCACAAGUCCGGAAGUAAAAAAGGUGCAGGCUGCGUUCUGUAAGCAGAGGCCAGGCAGAAGCUCCCAGUGGAGCGGAGCUGCCUGCUGGGCCCAGAGCUUGGGGCACUCGGGUAUGCUUGGGCUCACUGUGCUUCAUUCCCAGCAGGCUCUGGGGCAAAUGCUGGCUUCUCUAGGCAAGAAACCCCUAGCACUGGCUUGCUAACAUUCGACAGAAAGUGACUGAAGGUCCCAUCUGCUGGGGACAUGUAACAAGGAUGGCCCACCUGCUGGUGACAGCAUGGGAAGGUGUCACUUUCACGAGUGAGGCAUCUGGAUGUCAGCUUUGAGAUCACCAAGGAGACUGUUCACAUUAUCCUGGGCAUGCCUGACCCAGUCAGAGGAGCUUAUAACAGAAGGCCAGAGUGACCUGACUUGGAAGGUCAUGUGACCCAGGUUCAUGUUACAAACUGAGUUCCAGAGCCUGGCUCAUGGAGAUGCUGAGGUCCUGGAAGCUCUGGGCCUAGGGAGAUGUCUGUGGAAGAUGUUACUUUCAGAACUGCCCACAAUAACUUGGACAACUUGGGCACCCAGUCCCUCACAUGGUAGAAGGCUCGAAGAGUCAUUGCCUUAACCCUUCCGGCACCCAGAAUCCCUGGAACAGCAAGACAGAUUGGCCCCCAAGAUGGAAACAGUUGUUCUCUCUGAUGGAGAGGUAAGCCCCUGGAUCAGGUCACCUUGUAGGGAACAGAUCAGUCCCCUCAGGUGGUCACUGCAAUUGGCAGAUUAUCAGUGUGUCAGACGACUCUGUAGGACAGGAGCUGAGAGAAGGAUCAACAUGACCAUACCUAGAGCAGGUCUGCUUCCGUGUAUACCCACCUAGAGCAGGUCUGCUUCUGUGUAUACCCACCUAGAGCAGGUGUGCUUCCGUGUAUACCCACCUAGAGCAGGUCUACUUCUGUGUAUACCCACCUAGAGCAGGUGUGCUUCCAUGUAUACCCACCUAGAGCAGGUCUGCUUCUGUGUAUACCCACCUAGAGCAGGUCUGCUUCCGUGUAUACCCACCUAGAGCAGGUCUGCUUCCGUGUAUACCCACCUAGAGCAGGUCUGCUUUCGAGUAUACCCCUUCGCUUGGACCAAGGUCUGCUCUGCUUAACCUGAAGCUCUCCUUGAUGCAAACCUGGGAUCCCUGCAUCUUCUUACUUGUUCUUUUCUUCCCAACUCACUAAAUCUCCCUUUUCUACUUUUGUCAUUACACCUCUCCUGAACGGAUGGAUGAGGCUGGUGGCUGAGCCCAGACUGGUGGGGCCAUUAGAGUCUGGCCUUCUGCCUUAACACUCCAGUUACAAUAUUGACAUUUUAACACAUACUUUCCUUCAACAAUCCAUUUGUAUGUGUGUGUGAGUGUAUGUGUGUGUGU